CCUACGGGAGGCAGCAGUGGGGAAUAUUGCACAAUGGGGGAAACCCUGAUGCAGCGACGCCGCGUGAAGGAAGAAGUAUUUCGGUAUGUAAACUUCUAUCAGCAGGGAAGAAAAUGACGGUACCUGACUAAGAAGCCCCGGCUAACUACGUGCCAGCAGCCGCGGUAAUACGUAGGUGGCAAGCGUUGUCCGGAGUUACUGGGUGUAAAGGGCGUGCAGCCGGGAAGACAAGUCAGAUGUGAAAUCCCGCGGCUCAACCGCGGAACUGCAUUUGAAACUGUUUUUCUUGAGUAUCGGAGAGGUAAUCGGAAUUCCUAGUGUAGCGGUGAAAUGCGUAGAUAUUAGGAAGAACACCAGUGGCGAAGGCGGAUUACUGGACGACAACUGACGGUGAGGCGCGAAAGCGUGGGGAGCAAACAGGAUUAGAUACCCCAGUAGUC
rnacentral:rRNA from 1 species